UUCAUAUUUGUCUAUUUGAUGCCUACUGAUACAUGUAGUGAACUUUUUCUCUUCUAUGAGAUGAUUUUCUAUGAUAAUCAGGAUCCUGCUUGGUGCUCUGUGUUAAUUAUCUAAUGCCAUGCAGCUGUGAGAUUGGGAAUGCAGGUUAUUUAUGCAUGUCUUACCCAUUGUCUGUCAUUCACACACUGAGGAAGACGCUGUUCGAAACCGGUCUGUGUGUUUGAUCACCUGUAGCCUACCAGUGAGGUAAUAAAAGUUUUAAACGAAGGACACCGAGUGUUGCUGGCUUCUUCAUGUUUUUACAUAUGUUAAUCCCUGUGUAAUAUUUUUCAGUGCCAAUACAAUACAGUGUGUUUAAUGGCAAAGUUUUAUUUUCAAUGCCAAAACUUUAAUGCAGUGACUCCAUAAGAUACUACUUAACAUUAUUUAAGUCAGUAUGGUCAUUACAGAGUUUGUAACAUAUGAAAGCAAAAGUGAUUUCUCGUGAAAAAUUGUCUACAUUGCUUUUUUUUUUGUAUCCUUUUCAGCAGGAUACAAGGAGGAAUUUUACAUCAUGUACACCACUGAGACCUGUUUGCAGUGCAGAGAGGUCUACAGAAAUUGCAAACCUGGCUACGUUGGAAAUGGCAAAAGAGGAAAUCUGCAGGCAAUCUACUCGGACAACUCACAUAUUGGCUUCUGCGGCGAGUUCUGCAAAAGAUUAUGGGACGUGUAACGGCUCCUCCACUUCUCCGACCAGCAGCUCCUCCACCUUUCCGACCAGCAGCUCCUCCACCUGUCCGACCAGCAGCUCCUCCACUUCUCCAACCAGCAGUUCCUCAACCUUUCCGACCAGCAGCUCCUCCACCUGUCCGACCAGCAGCUCCUCCACCUGUCCGACCAGCAGCUCCUCCACUUCUCCAACCAGCGGCUGCUCAACCUGCUAAAUUUCUGUGUAAUGGUGUAAAUAAAAGUUGCUGUAAAAGCAAAAAAAAAAAAG